UACGUAGGUGGCAAGCGUUGUCCGGAUUUACUGGGCGUAAAGGGCGCGUAGGCGGCCGAUCAAGUCAGGCGUGAAAUUCCCGGGCUCAACCUGGGGGCUGCGCUUGAUACUGAUUGGCUUGAAUGCGGGAGAGGAUAGUGGAAUUCCCAGUGUAGAGGUGAAAUUCGUAGAUAUUGGGAAGAACACCAGCGGCGAAGGCGGCUAUCUGGCCCGUUAUUGACGCUGAGGCGCGAAAGCGUGGGGAGCAAACAGG
rnacentral:rRNA from 1 species